CGGCCGCGUCGACGUUAAACAAUUCCAAUAUACAAGUAAUUCGUGGAUGCAAGCGUUAUUGUAUCUGAGAAAUUACAGCGAUUUAAUUCAGAGUAAUCUGGUUUAAAUACCAUUUUAUGAAGAGUUUGAUCCUGGCUCAGGACGAACGCUGGCGGCGCGCCUAACACAUGCAAGUCGAACGGAGCUUGCUUGUCAGAUCCUUUCGGGGUGACGACUUGUAAGCUUAGUGGCGAACGGGUGAGUAACACGUGAGCAACCUGCCCCAGAGUGGGGGACAACAGUUGGAAACGACUGCUAAUACCGCAUAAGCCCACAGUACCGCAUGGUACAGAGGGAAAAGGAGCAAUUCGCUUUGGGAUGGACUCGCGUCCGAUUAGCUAGAUGGUGAGGUAACGGCCCACCAUGGCGACGAUCGGCGGUCGACGCGGCCG
rnacentral:rRNA from 1 species